UUUUCUUUUCUCUCUUUCUUUUCCUCUGUUUCUCUCGUGUUCUCUGCCUUCUUUGUCGGCGUUUCCUUCUCCUCUCUGAUUCUCCAGUGGACGACGAUGAGUUUAUGUUAAUCAGAAGCAUCAAGCAAACCCUCUGGUUCGCGAGACCUCUAUUCCGCCAUUGAAAAGGCUCUUAAAGGUUCACCAAUCGCCGGAUUAUUCCCUCCUCUUCCCCAAUGGUUUCCACUUAUAGUCGCUCUUGUAGCCUCAGGGUAAUUCCCCUCCGACCAUCCUUCGUUGGAAACUAUGGAGCGUCUUCUAUAAUCGCUUCACACCUUUCUUCUUUUGGUCGCUCUCUUCAUUUGAUUAGCUUCAGAAUUGUUGUUUGAUUGGUCAGAAGAUAACUUGUCUUGCUAUCUUAAAGAUUGGUUGGUUAGAGAGUGGUUUGAAUUUGUCUGUAACAUGACUGGAAAGUUCAUAGUUUGAAGUCAUAUUUGUUGAUUGAUUAUGCUUUGUCCUGUUAAAGGUUGGUUGAUUAGAGAGUUCCAGUAAAGAUUGGUUGGGUAUAGAGUGGUUGAUUAAUGAACAGAUUGAUUAUGCUUUGUCCUGUUAAAGAUUGAAGAUAACUUGUCUUGCUGUUUUAGUUUAAGAGUUUUUGAUCAUCUAUCUGAUUUUGUCUUAUAAGAUCUCUCUCUUUAACUAAACCUUCUACAUAGAAUCUUCAAUCUGUUCAUUAAUUCCUAGAACGUGUUGUUAUGGAAUUAAUGGAGACAAUGUAGUUGUUGUUAUGUAAUGUAAUGGAAUUAAUGCGGUUUGGCUUGAUGUUGUUCUUGUUCUUUUAAUGGUUUGGUGGUUUGCUGUUGUGAUACAGUUAUGAGAGGUUUGUUGCAAGUGUGAAGCAAGUGUCAUUGUCAUCACUCACCUCGUGAAGCAAGUGUGAAGCAAGUGUCAUUGUACAAGUUUUGUAUGCAUGUGCGUAAGCAGUCACGGAGUUGUAUUGUACAAAAGUCAUGAAUAGAGCGUUUGUAUGCUAGUGUAUUAUCAGUGUACAAACUUUUGUAUGCUAGUCAGUCAGUCAUGAAUAGAUUGUUUGUAUGCUAGUGUCUUCUAUUAUCAGUCAGUAAGUCACAAGCUUUUGUCCAAUUCACGGACUGUUCUUUCCUUGUAUUCAAGUCAUGAAGACCAUAAAAGGCUUCUAUUAUCACUCUUGUAAAGAAGCAAACUUCUCGACUUGUAAAGAAUCAAGCACAACACCAAAAUCAUCUUCUUGUCACAACACUCUUGGUUUCUAAAUUUUUUUUCCCACACCACCAAAGUCAUUUUGUCUCUUUAAUUACAACACCCUUGGUUUGAGAAUUUAUCGUUCACAACACCAAAGUCAUCUUUUCUCUUUAAUCACAACACUAUUGCUUCGAACUAUAAUUCGUGAUAGACAAAUGCAUCAACAACUAAAAGCUGAUUUGGUUGAACAUAUAUGGCGUAAAUUUGGACGUGAUGAAGACAACAACUGAGCUCAUAUGCUU
rnacentral:lncRNA from 1 species